CGCUAGCUACAGGCUUAACACAUGCAAGUCGAGGGGCAGCAUGGUCUUAGCUUGCUAAGGCCGAUGGCGACCGGCGCACGGGUGAGUAACACGUAUCCAACCUGCCGUCUACUCUUGGACAGCCUUCUGAAAGGAAGAUUAAUACAAGAUGGCAUCAUGAGUCCGCAUGUUCACAUGAUUAAAGGUAUUCCGGUAGACGAUGGGGAUGCGUUCCAUUAGAUAGUAGGCGGGGUAACGGCCCACCUAGUCUUCGAUGGAUAGGGGUUCUGAGAGGAAGGUCCCCCACAUUGGAACUGAGACACGGUUCAAACUCCUACGGGAGGCAGCAGUGAGGAAUAUUGGUCAAUGGGCGAGAGCCUGAACCAGCCAAGUAGCGUGAAGGAUGACUGCCCUAUGGGUUGUAAACUUCUUUUAUAAAGGAAUAAAGUCGGGUAUGGAUACCCGUUUGCAUGUACUUUAUGAAUAAGGAUCGGCUAACUCCGUGCCAGCAGCCGCGGUAAUACGGAGGAUCCGAGCGUUAUCCGGAUUUAUUGGGUUUAAAGGGAGCGUAGAUGGAUGUUUAAGUCAGUUGUGAAAGUUUGCGGCUCAACCGUAAAAUUGCAGUUGAUACUGGAUAUCUUGAGUGCAGUUGAGGCAGGCGGAAGUCGUGGUGUAGCGGUGAAAUGCUUAGAUAUCACGAAAAAGUCCGAUUG
rnacentral:rRNA from 1 species